GGCAGCCUAACACAUGCAAGUCGAACGGACUAAGAUAUUAGCUUGCUAGUAUUUUAGUUAGUGGCAGACGGGUGAGUAACACAUGAGAAUCUACCUGAUAGUAAGGAAUAACCACCAGAAAUGGUGGCUAAUACCUUAUAUACCCUGAGGGGGAAAGAUUUAUUGCUAUCAGAUGAGCUUGUGCUAGAUUAGCUAGUUGGUAAGGUAAUGGCUUACCAAGGCGAUGAUCUAUAGCUGGUCUGAGAGGACGGACAGCCACAUUGGAACUGAGAUACGGUCUAGACUCCUACGGGAGGCAGCAGUGGGGAAUAUUGGACAAUGAGCGAAAGCUUGAUCCAGCCAUGUCGCGUGAGUGAAGAAGGCCUUAGGGUUGUAAAACUCUUUCAGCGGGGAAGAUAAUGACGGUACCCGCAGAAGAAGUCCUGGCUAACUCCGUGCCAGCAGCCGCGGUAAUACGGA
rnacentral:rRNA from 1 species